GCAGCAGGACACCAAUUUCUAGUCUUACUCUGGAUUCUGGAACUAAGUCUAAUGCCCUAGUAAUUUUCACCGAUGAAAUCAACAUAAAAGAGAUGAAUGGAUGAACUACUUCUUGAUAGUUACAUUUUCAGGAUAAAAGAAGGAAAAUAAACGAUUCAAUUUUGAACACUGAAAUGCUACAAUUUAGCAAGCCUUGUGGCCUCACCACCAUUUUCAGACUUAAAACUAAGUAACUUAGAGGGCAUCAAAUUUUAUUCUCACCAACCAUUCUUAGCAUACAAGGGCAUGAAAAUAAUUUUUAACCCAAAAAAAAAGGUAACCAUGAAAACUAUAGAACUGGUUAAAGUAUCCCUGCUGAAACCAUAAUGCAAGUUGGUAAUGCAUGCAAGACAAUCAAUGAAAAUGCUGAUAUAUAGAAGGCGCUCCACUUACCUGCGCCGGGUAUGUCGAAGGAUAAGCACCAUAACCAGCACUUGAGGGCACUGGGGCAGGCCCUUGAGGAGGUGCAUAGCUUGCUCCGUAACUGCUGUAAGCACCAUAUGCUGCCUGCUGCGCAUAACCAGGAUUCCACUGCUGUGGUUGGGCUUGUGCAGCCUGUGGCCAGGUUU
rnacentral:lncRNA from 1 species